rnacentral:rRNA from 1 species
GACGAACUGUGCAAACGUUAUUCGGAAUCACUGGGCUUGAAGAGUGCGUAGGCGGUUUCGUAAGUAGGGUGUGAAAGCCCCCAGCUCAACUGGGGAACUGCGUCCUAAACUGCGAGGCUGGAGUGAGGUAGGGGUGUGUGGAACUUCCGGUGGAGCGGUGAAAUGAUGUUGAUAUCGGAAGGAACGCCGGUGGCGAAAGCGACACACUGGGCCUUGUCUGACGCUGAGGCACGAAAGCCAGGGGAG